CGGCCAAAACACGUUGAAACACCGGCCCUGUACGAUCACCGAACUUAAGCAACGUCGAGGCUAAUCAAUACCAAGAUGGGUGACCGCUUGGGAAUACCAGGUGCUGUAAG